CAUCAGCUAGUUGGUAGGGUAAAGGCCUACCAAGGCGAAGACGGGUAGGGGGUGUGAGAGCACGGCCCCCCACAAUGGGACUGAAACACGGCCCAUACUCCUACGGGAGGCAGCAGCAGGGAAUAUUGCACAAUAGGCGAAAGCCUGAUGCAGCGACGCCGCGUGAGUGAAGAAGGCCUUCGGGUCGUAAAGCUCUUUUGUAGGGGAAGAGGAAGGACGGUACCCUAAGAAGAAGCGUCGGCUAACUACGUGCCAGCAGCCGCGGUAAGACGUAGGACGCGAGCGUUAUCCGGAAUUACUGGGCGUAAAGGGCCAGCAGGCGGCUUGGUAAGUUGUGCGUGAAAGCCUCGUGCUCAACGCGAGGAAGCCGGACAAUACUGUCAAGCUAGAGGGCAUCAGAGGGGAGUGGAAUUCCCGGAGUAGCGGUAAAAUGCGCAGAUAUCGGGAGGAACACCGAUGGCGAAGGCAGCUCCCUGGGAUGCACCUGACGCUAAGAGGCGAAAGCUAGGGGAGCGAACAGGAUUAGAGACCCUGGUAGUCCUAGCUGUAAACGCUGGGUGCUAGGUGUGGGACGUAGAAGUUCCGUGCCGGAGCAAACGCGAUAAGCACCCCGCCUGGGAAUUACGGUCGCAAGGCUUAAACUCAAACGAAUUGACGGGGGCCCCGCACAAGCAGCGGAGCGUGUGGUUCAAUUCGAUGCUACACGAAGAACCUUACCUGGGUUUGACAUGUACGUGGUACGAAGGCGAAAGCCUAAGGACCCUUCGGGGAGCGUACACAGGUGCUGCAUGGCUGUCGUCAGCUCGUGCCGUGAGGUGUCGGGUUAAGUCCCGUAACGAGCGCAACCCUUGCCCUUAGUUACAAGUGUCUAAGGGGACUGCCGGCGGGAAGCCGGAGGAAGGUGGGGAUGACGUCAAGUCAGCAUGGCCCUUAUGUCCAGGGCUACACACACGCUACAAUGGUCAGUACAAAGGGUAGCGAAGUCGCGAGGCGGAGCGAAUCUCAACAAAGCUGAUCGUAGUUCGGAUUGCAGGCUGCAACCCGCCUGCAUGAAGCUGGAGUUGCUAGUAACCGCGCGUCAGCCAUAGUGCGGUGAAUACGUACCCGGGGCUUGUACACACCGCCCGUCACGUCAUGGGAGUCGGUAACGCCUGAAGCCGGUAGUCU
rnacentral:rRNA from 1 species